rnacentral:rRNA from 1 species
CCUACGGGGGGCAGCAGUGAGGAAUAUUGGUCAAUGGGAGGAAUCCUGAACCAGCCAUGCCGCGUGCAGGACGACGGCUCUACGAGUUGUAAACUGCUUUUGUACCGGGGUAAAAUGCUCUACGAGUAGGGUUUUGAAAGUACGGUACGAAUAAGGAUCGGCUAACUCCGUGCCAGCAGCCGCGGUAAUACGUAGGUGGCGAGCGUUAUCCGGAAUGAUUGGGCGUAAAGGGUGCGUAGGCGGCCUGCUAAGUCUGGAGUGAAAGGUACCGGCUCAACCGGUACAGGCUCUGGAAACUGGCGGGCUAGAGAGCAGGAGAGGGCGGUGGAACUCCAUGUGUAGCGGUAAAAUGCGUAGAUAUAUGGAAGAACACCAGUGGCGAAGGCGGCCGCCUGGCCUGUUACUGACGCUGAGGCACGAAAGCGUGGGGAGCAAAUAGGAUUAGAUACCCGUGUAGUC